AAACUGGGGAUUAGAUACCCCACUAUGCCCAGCCGUAAAAUUUGAUUUACAAUAUUUAACGCCAGGAUAUUACGAGCAAUAGCUUAAAAUCCAAAGGACUUGACGGUGCCCUUACCCAUCUAGAGGAGCCUGCCCUAUAAUCGAUUAUCCCCGCUAGACCCUACCAUCUCUUGCCAAUCAGCUUGUAUACUUCCGUCGUAAGCUUACCAUGUGAAAGACCAAUAGUGGGCCUAAUGUUCCGUUUCACCAGUACGUCAGGUCAAGGUGCAGCCUAUGAGAUGGGAAGGGUGGGCUACAAUUUCUAUAAACUAGAACACACGAAAACCCUGCAUGAAAACCCAGAAAUGAAGGUGGAUUUAGUAGUAAAAAGAAAAUAGAGUGUUCUUUUUAAUGAGGCGCUGGGGCGAGU
rnacentral:rRNA from 1 species